rnacentral:RNase_P_RNA from 1 species
AAAGUCUGCCGGCUUGCCGCUGGCUUCUAUACGGAGCAAGAGGAAAGUCCGGGCAACAUAGAGCAAUCCGCUUCCUAACGGGAAGAAGUCCGCGAGGGCUUGAGCAAUGUAGAAGAAAACAACCGCCGCGAGGCAAGGGUGAGAAGGCGGGGUAAGAGCCCACCAGACGCAUGGUGACAUGCGUGCUGUACAUUCCGGAUGUUGAAAGUUCAUGUAUACCAGCGCUUGAGGGCUGCUCGUCCGAGCUGGAGGGUAGAACGAUAGAGGCUAUUGGUGACAAUGGUCGUGGAUAAAUGGCAGGCAUUGUCCCUCGGGACAACACAGAACCCGGCUUACAGGCAGACUCUCCUC